AGGGAAUUAGUUCAACGGUAGAACAACCGUUUUACACACGGAAGGUUAAGAGUUCAAAUCUCUUAUUCCCUA